rnacentral:snoRNA from 1 species
UUUCCCUUAGGAUCGCACCUGGAGAGUUUCCAGUACUCUACCAGUCUCGGCUAAGGGAGGGAGAGUCACAGCAGAGGCCUACCCAUUCCAAUCCUAGCUUGGGCAGUGGCUAGCAAGUGGCAGGCAAUCUGCUACAAGU